rnacentral:rRNA from 1 species
UACGAGGGCUUCGUAGCAGUGCCCGUCAUAACUAGGCUGUAAAGGGAGAAUAGGCAUGUUCUUUAGUUAGGCUCAAAAUAAGCGAUAUAAUUUGCCUAAAGUUUCUUUAGAACUAUGAGGAUUGUAGAUGAAAGCGGUAACCUCCAAAGGAGCAAUGUACAAGUUAUUAGAUUGCAGGGACCACCGUGUGGCAAUUGCAGCUUUCAAUACUUUUUUAUUAACCUUGACGCUGACUGAUCUGAAAGUGUGGGGAGCAAACCGG